UAACCCCUGGUGGCGAGUGGCGAACGGGUGAGUAAUGUAUCGGAACGUGUCCUGUAGCGGGGGAUAACCUCUCGAAAGAGAGGCUAAUACCGCAUACGACCUACGGGUGAAAGCGGAGGACCGCAAGGCUUCGCACUAUAGGAGCGGCCGAUAUCGGAUUAGCUAGUUGGCGGGGUAAAAGCCCACCAAGGCGACGAUCCGUAGCUGGUCUGAGAGGACGACCAGCCACACUGGAACUGAGACACGGUCCAGACUCCUACGGGAGGCAGCAGUGGGGAAUUUUGGACAAUGGGCGCAAGCCUGAUCCAGCCAUGCCGCGUGAGUGAAGAAGGCCUUCGGGUUGUAAAGCUCUUUCGGCGGGGACGAAACGGUCCGUGCUAACACCACGGACUACUGACGGUACCCGCAGAAGAAGCACCGGCUAACUACGUGCCAGCAGCCGCGGUAAUACGUAGGGUGCAGGCGUUAAUCGGAAUUACUGGGCGUAAAGCGUGCGUAGGCGGUUUGUUAAGACAGGUGUGAAAUCCCCGGGCUUAACCUGGGAACUGCGCUUGUUACUGGCAGACUGGAGUGUGGCAGAGGGGGGUGGAAUUCCAGGUGUAGCAGUGAAAUGCGUAGAUAUCUGGAGGAACACCGAUGGCGAAGGCAGCCCCCUGGGCUAACACUGACGCUAAUGCACGAAAGCGUGGGGAGCAAACAGGAUUAGAUACCCUGGUAGUCCACGCCCUAAACUAUGUCAACUGGUUGUCGGGGAAGAAAUUCCUUGGUAACGAAGCUAACGCGUGAAGUUGACCGCCUGGGGAGUACGGCCGCAAGGUUAAAACUCAAAGGAAUUGACGGGGACCCCCACA
rnacentral:rRNA from 1 species